GUUAUUUUGGCAGAAUAGUGCAAUGAAUUUAGAAUUCUUUAAUGUAAAUUUAUUUUUACAAAUAAUA
rnacentral:tRNA from 1 species